UGUGCUUAUAUAUAUCUUUGUUGAGUUUGCUAAAUAAAUAAAUAAAUAAAUAAAGUUUGCUAUGAACCCUCAUGAUAAGCUCUCACAUGGAAAUGAUGAAUAGUUGCUCUACCAUGACUAGUUCUAAAAAUUGAAAUCUCUCUCAAGUUUAGGCAUGACUGUUAUUAAUUAAGAUUUGCUCUAAACCUGAACUUGUGGGAAGAGUACUUGAUCUAAAGUCUAAGUCGUUAACGGAUAUGAUAUGGGAAGGUUGAGUUGCUGUUUAUCUGUUCCUAGAGAUGCUAGAAUUCUGGAGAAUUUUAUCUUUGAAAAUCUUUAAAAUGUUGCAUGAUGAGUUCCUGUAUGAUGAGAGUUUAAAUUUCUACCACAGCCAUAUAUACAUGCUUGCUAGACUUUGAGCCACACAUUUACUUUUUACUGCUUAUGAGCAUUGAGUGUGGUCAAGCUGUGUAGACCCUUAGGAGCUUGUCAUGUGGUUAAAUCAAGAUUUCACUUGCACGUUCACUCAUAUAUGCUACUUCUACUCCGGAAGUACCAUCCACAUAUAUCCACCCAUUCCAUCUCCAGAAUCACCCAAAAAUAUUCUACUCCUAAUCCGGGAGAGAAUAACAAAAAUAUUUCUGUUUUCCCUUGUGAAAUAAAUGCUCAAGUUAUCUUGUUACUACCACUUGCUAUAUUAUCUCAAGAGAUGAGUGCUCUAAUAAAAAAAGAAAAAAAGAAAAAAAAAUACGAGGAAAUAAAAAGGGGCAAGUGCCUGGAACAUCGAAAGAAAAGACAAAGUAAGACGAGAGGUAAAAAUGGACAAGUGUCCGACAGUACAAUUAGGGGUACAAGAUACCCACCUGAGAAAAAAGAAGAGAAAAUAUAGAGCAUAUCAUUCUCCUCAAAAAGUUUCAAAAGAGCAAGAAAGGUAUGUAUCCCCUCAAAAGAGCAUAAGUAGAAUUAGACUUUCACCAUUGUUAUCACCAUCAUUACCAUGCAUCAUUCAUUCGCCACACAUGCACAUCUUGAUUUGACUUAUUGACUUGUUCUUCUGGAUCCAUGGUUUGACUAUGCAAUAAAUGUCUUGUAAGUAUGUAUUAGCUGUCUCCCACCUAUGAGCUCCAGAUAUCAAAACCUUAUUAGAGUAGGGUAAGAGAGAAGGCAAUGUCACUAUGCCUCAUACCAAAAAUACCACAUUCUUUGAGAGAAAGCAUAUACCAUUACUGCCUUGGUAAGGAUCCAGAAAUACCACAAAAGAGAGACUAGAGAGAGUCAUACAAGGAAUCUCUGAGUUUUAUUUGAAAAUCUGCAAAAACUCCAGAGCUAUAGUUAAUCGAAGAACAAGAGACAUGGCGCUUGACUAGACUGUUCUAUCUUUUAACUACUCAAGACAGAAGUGACGGUUACAAGUCCCAUGGUGAAAGGUAAAUGAGUAAGUUUUAAGUCUUAACAGUUUACUCUAACCAGAGAUGAGAUCUUGUUUAAACGCAUGUGUAUCUUUAAGUUAUGAAACCACUGCAGAAACUCUUGAGUUCAUCUUUGCUCAGGGACGAGCAAAGGUUAAGCUUGGGGGAGCUUGUUGACGGUCCUUAAUGCUCAUAUUUAACCAUCAACUAAUCAUGGAAAAGGAUCCAAAUGCAACCAACACCUAAACUUAGGGUUUUAUCUGACAGAAUUCCACGAGUUUUGGUGUUUGUCUGUUUCUGUAGGGGGUUAUCAGGAAAUACGGAAGAAAGGCCCACACGUCGGGUUUACAUAGAGAUAUUAACGUGCCGCGUAAUUUUCUAUCAUCUAGAAGACUCCAGAAGCCACGGGAACGAACGGGAGGCCGAUCGGGCUCGGAGGCAGGGCGCCCGCCCAACUCCCCUGGGCGCCCGCCCAGCUACAGUGUCCAAUUCGGACCCGUUUCGCGUAUUAUGCUCCACCGACCUAAAGGAUCAAGGAAAACUGUGCGAUCAAUGUCGGUUUGAUCCGACGGCCCAGAUUCACUUAAAGGGACUAUAAAACCAGACCCCCCCUGGCCCCUGGAGAUCAUACCUCUUCUACAGAAUCAAAGUUAGGCUUUCAAUUCUUCAUCCAAGUAGAGAGGAUCCCUCUAGUUCUUCUAGUUCUACCUCUAGUUCAUCUAGAUCUAGUUCUAGUUCAUCUAGUUCUAGUUCUAGUUCCUCUAGUUCUAGUUCUAGUUAGUUCUAGUUGUAAUCUAGAAAAUAGGGAGAGAGAAGAGGAGAGUGGAGGAGGAGCCGGAUCUGUCGGAUCUUCCUCAACAUUGUACUUUUGCAGCAUCUGGUUCGUUCUUCAUCGUUCUCCAGGUUCUUCAGUUCAUAACUCCUGAGCUCUCUAAUUACUUUUAUUUAUAUUCAAGUUAUUUAUUGGAUUCCCGCUUGCAUCAAGUGCUCUAAUCUUUGAAACAUUAGAGUAGUAAUUAAUAGAUUAGACGUGGUGUUUAGUCUUGCAAUUACCUGGAAUUGCACCCAAUCCUGCGGAUUGUUGUGGUAGCCUUAGGGUAGUGACAGCCCUAACGGUCGACGUAUUCCACCUCGUUCGGAUCGGUGUUUGUAGGACCGUAGUCGGAGCUUCCUAGCCCCCUUCUCAUCUCUUUCUGUGGUUAGUGUUCUGAUGUCCCGAAAUAGACAAUCUUGAAGUAAUUCUUGAUUCUUAGAUCAACUAGAGAACUCUCAGGAAACUUCAUCUCUUCCCACCAAAAAUAAUUAUAUAGUUAUCCUUGGGUGAUCUUGAUUCUUAAUUAGUACACUCACGUUCUCUGUGGAAAAUUGAUACUCUGGAAUACUCCCGGGUGAAAGCUACAUCGGUAUCCGUGCGCUUGCGGAUUUUUCUGUUUGCGUUUAAAAUACCCAACAGUGCAUCGACCCGGUUUGGCGACGAUGGGGUGGACUCGCUCACCAGGGGACGGGGCGGGGCGGUCUCGGUAUUGGUCGGCAGUCGGAGGUUGGAGGAGCCUAUAAGACACACAAAAGCAAAGGUCAGUCGGCACAAGAACGACAUAACUAACGUAACAAUGGGAAUGAGCCACUAACCCGAAUCUUUGGAGGCCGCGCCCACUUUAAGCCUUUUCGCCAUUGAGGGCUGGGCCUGCUCGAGCGUCCGCUUCAACCUAAGGUAAGAAAAAUUGGCGUAAGAGAGACCGUUACACGAGAAAACGCAAAGAAGCAGGAGGAUGAGAGUCAUAGCGUUGAAAGCAUUACCCCACAGGGAGAACAGCACGCCUGCCGGUACCUCGACCGGUAGACCUCGAACCAUCCCGCGUCGAAAGGAAUAGGAUUACCAUGGGUAAAAGAGGAUUAGUUUAAGCAACAUUUAUUUAAUUAAAAGGGACGACAUUGUAAGGGAAGGAGUAGACAGAAUGUAUGUAUGAAUGCGACAUGAUGAAUGCACGAACCGUACGUCCUCACAAACUUAGAAAAUUAAUAUUCUAAUGGAUAUACGGUGGCAUACAUUCGUCUCUCGAUAUGUUAACUAUCGAUUUACACGCACGCUGUUAGAGUACCUGCAGAAAACUUCAUUUCAGCCCAACAGUUCCCAAUAUAUCACUCAAGAAAGCAGUAAACUAAGUGCACAUUGCUUGGACAUGCCCAACAUGCACAAACAAUGACACCACAGCUACCCGAGAAAUUAAAUGCUCCCCAAUUAAGUUUCUUUCGCGGUUCCAUGGUUUUGACAUGUAACCACUCCAGAAAACCACCGCGAACACUCCCCUAGACCGUCGUUUGGACGAUCAUGCUCACACUUACCAGAGCGUAGGUGCGACGUUGCAUAAAUUAAAUCUAGCGACAUAUGUGGCUAAUUCACAUAUGAAGGCUACCUCCACCAUUAGACCACAGGGUAGCAUAGUGCGGUCAUCACACAUCCAUACCUGAGUACUGCCGGAGAUGCGAAAAUAAAACCCCCCAAGUCAGUACUUAAAUAGCCACCUAUAGUCCUUAUGUGGGCAAGGAGGAUUCGACCACUGGCACAACUUAAAUAUUUAUUUGCACCAUUUUAUUUAAAAACUCUUUUGUUUUUAAAUACACAAACGCUGCAUUUAUAAUGCGGAACUUGCUCCGAUACCAGCUGUCACAGAACCGACCAAAUUAUAAGAGUUCAAGUGUAGAAACGAUCGACAAGCAAUCAAGUUUCCAAACUUGAGCCCAUAUAAUCCCGGUAGUCAAUUGAAAUCACGUAGGAUUUCAAACCAACAUGCAACAAACCAAAAUCGUAAUAGUUCAACAUAAACACAGCAAAUGUUACAUAGUCCUUCAUUGCCGUCGAAGCGGCACCACAUCGGAGUCAUUAAGUUAUUACAACCCAAGUUUGAAGUAGCGGAAGCAAAAUAGUACACACCCUUGUUCAAAGUUCACUUCAUAAGUUUUUGUUAUCGCCAGAGUCUACACCAUCCUUCCAAAAGCAACAGGUACGAGGUUGUUAGAGAACCGUGCCCAACGGUUAGUCCUCAUCCCCAGCGGGAUGGAGACAGGUCUUGCAGAAGCCGUCAUAAAAGAUGUCAUCUGCAACAGGUGGGAAUAAACCCUGAGUACGAGAAUGUACUCAGCUAGACUUACCCGUCUAGUAAAACAUAAAAGACACCAAGGAUCAUGCAAGGCUAAUGUAUAAAAGUAGAGCUGGUUGACUCAACAUUUUGCCAAAAGCCUUUAUUAUGACUAACAUAUUGUAAGAGCAUCAUAUUUGUUUACUAUUAGCCUACUGCUAGAUUAGCACCUGUACUACAACACAUCACUUGAUUAUUACAAGCAAUAAAAACCAUAUCAAUUUCAUCAUAUGUUCUUCUUACUAUCAUCAUUAUCAUGAACCAAGUUCAUUAGUGAAUGCUAUGUUUGCCGCUGCUCUGUCAAGUUCUCACUGACCGGGAGAGACGGCGAUUCGAAUCGAAUUCUUAUCCAGCUGGAGGGUUAUUCCUAGCACUCACCCAAGCAUCCCCCGUCGGAGAGCCAACGGGUCACCUUUGGUACAACUCAGGAAUCCCGGCUCCGAUCAGCGCCGCACUCCCAGGGCUACCACUCUGCCAGGGAGGUCAGGAAUUUUAACUCACCUGCCUUUGGGCUUACGCCAAUGGUCCCACGCACACCGCACUUCCUUCGGUAGUGCGCACUUUAUACUUGCCGGUCUUCCGGCCUGAGUCAUACUACUCGGCUUCGCGGUCGGAACGAGUUAUCCGGCCAACUAAGUGUCAGGCAUGCGUUCAACAUGACAAGAGGACGUACAACGAUCGGUCCUUAGCUGCCACGGACGGGGUUACUACAACCUUGCAAAACUCCGCCCAGCUUAAGUCAAAUUAAUCAGGUUCCAUCCACGAUAGCAUAUAUAUACCAUCGUGAUCCGACACAACCCUAUAUCGCGCAGGUGACAGGAAAUCACCCGACUUCUACCGAUUAAGCAUGGCUAGGCUGCUACUCAAUCCUAACACUACAACCAGGGUGUGGUGAGUUAUCUGGACAAGGAUGGAGUAAAUGCAACAAAGGUGUCAUCACAACUCCUAUACUUAAAUGCAGCAAUAGAUAUAAUAUAUUAAAUAACUUUCGAAAGUAAAGGGAGGCUUAGAAUGCUCCGGGGUUUGCCUUUCAUGAACGAGGCUGGCUCGUGACUUGGGCACUCAACUUCUUCUUCGGGCUCCUCGAGUCCGACUGGCUGGACCUCCACCUCCUGGCUGCCCUCCUGGCCUUCGGGGUUCACUUGCAGAUCGAAGGAGGCUGCCACGUCCGAUGCACCUAUUGCAUGCUCGGUGAAUGAGAAGGUGUGCAUACAAAAGAAUGAAUGCUUGAUAACAUAAGUGACCCACUAGACACUCAUUUACGGAGCAAUAGUUAUAACAAAUUCACACAAGAUAAUAAGUUAACUUAGCCCAAAACUUAUCAUGAUGGCCUAUAACAGCAAGCAUCAAACAGCAGGAUUAGCUUAGUAAACAGAUCAUAACUAUUGCCACAAAGAUCCAACAAACUUAAGUGAGGACACUCUGGAAAGCUUAUGAAAUUGUCUACAAAUCAUCUUUAAACAUCACAGCAAGAUUCAUAUAUUAAACAAGUCAUUUAAACAAAGUUCCAGGUGCUGUCCCAGAAAAACAGAGAACACCUAUUUCUGGAACCUAACUUGGAAAGAUCAUAACUUCAAAACUACUGGACCAAAUGAUCCCAAAUUUAAAGCACAGCUAGUUUAAUAAGUUUACAAUAACUUUGAUUUAGACAAGUUUCCCAGAAAGCCAAGUUAUCAUUAAACAAAAGUUAAAUUACUCCCUUGCUGUCCAGAACAGCUUUUAACCCACUAGUUAAUUAUUUAAUGACAUGACCAAAACACAAACAGUGUCAACCACAUCGCUUAUGAGCACAAGCAUAUUAUAAGAGAACCAGAACACCAGAUGAUAACCCCCAAACAUUUACUUAACAAGGCAUUUAUUAAUUAAUUCUAGAAAGGAGCAUAAUUACAAGAUACUAGUCAAAAUGCUCAGAAAAAUCUACAAAAAUUACAGAGGCACAAGUAUAGCAUCAAAGCAUCACCAUAAAAAUUUCAGAGCAAUUGCACAUACCAAAUUAAAGAUAUGCAUUUAACAUGUGACAAGGUGUUUAUUCCAUAAAUUCAGAAAUAUGACUUAUAUGGUGUCAAACAACAGAUUUCAGAUUAUUUAUAUAUUAUGAAUACCAUAAACAAGUUUACUACCAAAGUAGAGCACCAGAAAACAUGGUUCAUUUUAUAUUUUUAUUUAAAACUAGCCAUCUCAACGAACACCCAUAAAUUGGUUUCACAAUUUUGGAUCUCAGAAAUAGGAGAUAUGAUUUUGCAAAGGAAGCCAAAAAUCCAGAUUUGAAUAAAAGAACAGGAGGGAAGGAGGGUGACACUGACAGUGGACCCCGCAUGUCAGCUUCUUCUCCUUCACGGCCGAGGCGACUCUCACCGGCGAUUUCUCCGCGACGGCGAGGUCUCCGGCCAAACCAGGGGCACCAACGUGAUCCCCAGACUCUAGCGACUCGAUUGACCCCCUUUUCCCCACGGCGGAGCCACCGGAAGGGGCUUACCGUCGAUCAUAGCGGCUCGGUGGAGGUGCUCGGCGUUACGCCGGAGCCCUCAGGCCGGUAGAGCGGGACCUAAGGCCUUCUACAGCACCAGCGGACUACGGCGAAGCUUCCUAGGUACGCGGCUUGGCUUGAAACCUCGUGGAACACUCUGGCCACGAGAGCACCCAUCUCCGGCGGAAACACGGCGGCGCUGCGCAUCGUGUCCGGCGACGGAGAGUUCGGUAGAGCGUCCACCAAGUGGCGCAAACGCUCGCUAAGGACCUACUCUACCUCUAGGACCUAACAAGAGAAGACGAGCGGCUUCACCGGGCUCGGCAUUGAGUUCGCCGGAAAAGAUGGUCGCGGCGACCCGAUUUGGGGAAAGAAGGGAAUGGCGGCUCACCGGUGGGCUUCGCGGCGAGCUAGAGGGUGGGAAGUGAAGAGCGGCUCACGGCGGAGCUGUGGGUGGAGUUUGGUGGGCAAUGGCGCAGCAAGGAACGCGCACGAACUCGCCGGAGUGAGCUCGUGACGGUGAGCUCGCUGCGGUCGGGUUACAAGUGCGAGAGGGCGAGGAAGGCGAGAGUGGACGCGUCCACUCUGCUCGGGGCGUCGCCGUAGAGGUCAUGCGCGCGCUGGGAGCUGACGAGUGGGGCCAUCGCCGGCGUACGGGUGCCAUCUGGUGGACAGGUGGCGCUCUGGCCAUCCACGAUGGCGAGCUCGGCUUCGAUUCAGAGAAAACGGCAACUGUCUGACAGAGCGACUUCAACGAUGAAUAACUUCCAAACCAGAGCGAGUUAGGACCUGAUGUAGUUGACAAAGUUGGAGUACUAGCCGUGAUCUACAACUUUGUCAACUGGAGCAAAAGCUAGAUCGGCUUGGAUUGAGAGGUAUAGAGUUUUCAAAAUAGAUCGAGCAAACUGUUUGCGUUUCCGGACUUAGAAAAUUUUCUAAGUGUUGGAAACAGCCCCAAAUUUGCCUUGUGGUUCAAUUUUGAGCUAUUUGUGAUCCUUUUCAUGAGAUGGCUAUAAAACAACUUUUGUUCCUUAUAAAAUUUGCUACAACUUUUCUGUAGAAAGUUUUGACAUGCAAACAUUUUAUGAAACACUUUUUAAAAGCCUAAUCAAAAGAGGUUUCUAGGGCCUAUUCACAUAAGUAUGACUUAAGUGAUUAUUUUGGAGAAGUGAUCAACAUGAACAUUGUUCCCAAGGUUAAGUUAAGCAUAAAUAAACUAAUUACCAAGGCAUAGAGCAUAAACACAAGCAUGGUUCAUUCAAGCAUAAGCAUAGGAAGCCAAUUUAAGCAAUUUAGAUCACAUUUUUGCAUGGAAUGACAUGGCUCAAGAUAGAUGAUGAUCAUGAUAUGCUUUGAGUAGAUGAUGAUUCUCAUGCUAUGCACAUGAUUAAUGCAACCAUAACACUGGGGUGUUACAGCUAUAGGAGGAAGAGGGGGCAGGGUGGGCGCCCUCUAUAGCUGGGCGGGCGCCCACUUGUGGUCCCCAUCCUGGCUGCCCUUUCUCCACUCUCUUCUUUGCUUAAUUCUUACGCAAAAUAAUGCAUCAUGGGUGGUGGUUGGCCAGUGGAAAAGUGCUGGUUAGUGGAGACAUGUUGGUGGAUCAAAUAAUGUGAUGGGAUGUAUGUGAGGUGCGGUGUAUGACAUGUGGGACCCAAGGAGUGUGGGUCAUGCUUCUAGAAGGUUGCUAUAAUUGAAUAUAAUGCAGGAAAAUCUAUGAGAACUAAAACUUAUUUGAAAUGAUAAUGAAAAAUAUUUUUGUGCCUCCACAAUAAUUAAUAAAUAUGGGUUGUUACACACCAUGAAUAUCAUUUAUAUGGGGCUUUUGAUUAUUAUAAUAAUGCUAUGAAUAAAUAUGACUAAUGCAAGAAUUAAUUAUGCAAGAAUUAAUGAUGCGGAUAAAUACCGAUUUACCUCCCGGUGAGGGUUUGGGAUUUUUAGGUCCCGCAAGCUGGACCUCCAAAUCUUUUAAUCUUCUGAAUUACCUUCCUCCAGAGAUGGUGUCUCCAGUGGUUCUUCUUCAUGAACUUCCUUCACUGUAGGGUCUCUCUCUGGUCUGGGUUUGAAUGUGAAGUGUUCUUCUUUUCCGUUUAUGUUGAACUUGAUUUCUCCUUUCCCGACAUCAAUGUGGGCAUUGGCAGUGCUCAGAAAUGGCCUUCCAAGGAUGAUGGACACUUUUGAGUCAGGACUCAUGUCCAGUACUACGAAGUCUACUAGUACCAGGAAAUCUCUGAUCUUGACUGGAAUGUUCUCAGCGAUACCGAACGGGUGUCGAACCGAUUGAUCUUCUAGUUACAGGCACAUUGAUGUUCGUUCUAGUGUCGUAUGCUCAAGCUUUUUGUCGACUAAUGCUGGCAUCACACUGACACUUGCUCCGAGAUCACAAAGUGCAUUUUUCAAGUGUUGGUUUCCGAUUGAGCAAUCAAUAGUGGGACGUCCGGGAUCUUCCUUCUUCCUUGGUGGUAUAUUGAGGAUGGCCGCACUACAUUCUUCUGCCAGCAUGAUAACCACAGUGGUGGGCAGUGUUCUCUUCUUGUUAAGAUAUCUCUGAUGUACUUUGCAUAUCUAGGUACCUGUAUGGCAUCAAGUUGAGGUAUGUUCACAUAUAAUUUCUGAAUAACCUCUACAAACUUACCAAACUUCUCAUCCAACUGCAGUCCUCUAUUUCUUCUAGGAAAUGGCAAAUAGUUAGUGUCGUAAAAAUUUUUCCUCAUUUCUCCAGUUCUUGGUGGUUGCAGCAGAUCUUCUGCUUCAACUGGGCUUUCUUCUUCUAUCACUACUGGUUGCACUGGUGCUGAUGUUCUUUGUUUCUCUUUUGGGUAUGGGGGAUCUCUGGUGGCUUUGCCUCCUCUAGUGGUUAUAUUCUUUACCUGCUCAAUGUUAGUAGCAACAGGCAGUGCAGCAGCUAGCUUUAUUAAUUUAAGCUCUACCCUCUUAUUAAGAGUGUUUUGCUCAUCAAAGGCAGUUAGUAGAAAAUCCAUUUUAUUGUGUAUAUCUUUUAGAGAUGAUUCAUUUGUAUCUAGCCUUUGUUUAACUUCAUCAUUAGUUUUUAUUUGUUGAGCAAUUAUCUCUUUUAAUGAAAGUUGCUUGAAAGUAUUACCUAAAUUCAUACCUUUGCUAUUGGGUUGACUCGAGGUAGGUGUCGACGAAAGCUAGUCGGCAGUCUACCUUGGGGUAUACCCACGGUAGUAGUUUAUCGGUAGACGGUGCGCAAACUACGAACUCGAUGGUGACGCAAGACACGGACAAGCUUUUUAUCCAGGUUCGGCCGCCGAGUUGGCGUAAUACCUACGUCCUGCGUCUGGUUGUAUUGAUUUGUGUUGAGAGAAUAUGAUGUCCCCUAGGGGGGUCCCUUGCCCCUUCUUAUAUAGUCUGGAGGGCAGGGUUACAGAUCUGGAAACUAAUCCUAGUCGGUUACAAUUGCCAUGGAUAAUUCGAUAUCAAUUCCUAUUCUAACCGACUAGAAUCCUGCUUGAUCUCCACAUCUUGUUUCCUUGCGCGAAACUCCAGGUUGUCGGAUCAAGCCUUGAACUCGUCUCGUAAUGGGCCAAGCCUCCUGGCCGAAGUCUAGCCGUAAGGGAAUAGGGGUUUAUCCCCCCACAGCUAGUCCCCGAGCACCAUGUAUUGUGAUGUAACACGCCGUCUUGAGCUUCUUCGAUCAGUGAGACUCGACGUCUUCAAUAAGUGGGAAAGUCGCCCAAACAGUUACAACGGUUCUUUGACCAACUCAAAAGACAGUUGAUCAACAUUGGCAUCGAAGAAGCGAGUUGUUCGAAGAAUGCAUGGUGCUCUAAAUUAAAAAAGAUUUCUUUCCUGGUGAAGUGUGCCCACUUUACCUUUUUGAAAGGUAUAAACAUCAAAGAAGCAAGCGAAUUCACCGCUAGGUGAAGUGUGCCCACUUAGUCCCCGAGCCUGGUAGUAGGUGACGUAGGCACGUGGUGCCAGGGUCAAAAUAAAAGUCCUCAAAGAAAUUCUGUAACUGAGAUGCAUCGCCAGAUGCAUCGUACCGAUGUAGUCCCCGAGCUUGCUGGAAGGCGAAGUAUGAGCCUUGUAGCAAGGUCUAAAUAAUUGAAUUUACCAGUCCGUCUGCAAUUGAAUAGACUAAUCGACCAGUCCCCAAGCACCAAGUGCGCUCCUUAGAAUUCUCAAAUUGGUGGGCUGGUCGACCAGUCCCCGAGCGUAUAGUGCUCGGUGGUCGGCACAGUCCUUGAAGGUCCGAGCUGAUAGACUGGGCGACCAGUCCCCGAGCGUCGAGUGCUCGGUGGUCGGUGCAGUCCUUGAAGUUCCGAGCUGAUAGACUGGGCGACCAGUCCCCGAGCGUCGAGUGCUCGAUGGUCGGUGCAGUCCUUGAAGUUCCGAGCUGAUAGACUGGACGACCAGUCCCCGAGCAUCGAGUGCUCGGUGGUCGGUGCAGUCCCCGGAUUGUUGACUCACUGGCGUAUGUGUCUUCUUAUUUUUGAAAAGAUCUGUCCAGUUAAAGUUGACGUGACGAGGCCUCCUGACGGGGUGUCAGACGGAUGCAUGAAAAGUUGCACCUGACAACUGUACAGCCGCCCUUUGCAUGGUUUGAGAAAAGGAAACCAUCAAUUGGUACGAAAACUCCGCCGCAUUAAUUGUCUAUAAUCAUUGUAAACCGAAACGCCACGUCCGCCGCAUGGCCUGCCCACUUCCCGAGAAUACAGGAAGUGGGAGAGGUGGAGUUGCGGGCUUAUAAGAGCCUAAUAGGUCCGCCUGUACCGCUUUCGCUGCCAUUGCCUUCAAACCUUCCGCUCUCAUCUUCUCCAAUCUCCUGCAUCUUCUUAACUCAAGCCCACAUUCGCACCUCUAAUGGCGAAGAGCGACUCCAGGAAGAGGGCCGAACUGAUGGCCAAGGAGUGGAAGAAGUCUCGCAGCACCGCAAAAUCUCUUGGUGACCUCGUCGAUAUGGGGCUUCUGCACGGCCCGGAGCUCGGCGGCUGGAGGGCACCGGAGGGGGAGAGCUACCCCGAACCUCGCGCCGGUGAGAUCGUCGUAUUUGAAGAUUUCAUUAAGAGGGGUUUUGGUGUUCCUGUUCAUCCUUUUCUUCAAGGUCUUCUUUUGUAUUAUGAGAUCGGGAUUUGCAAUCUGCACCCGAACUCAAUUCUCCUCAUUUCCACCUUUAUCCACCUGUGCGAGGCCUAUGUUGGCAUAGAGCCGCACUUCGAUCUUUUUCGGUAUCUUUUCUGCUUGAGGAAGAAGGGAGCAGUUGGAGGCUCCAAGGUUGCAGGUGGAGUAUACCUCAACCUUCGUGAUGGAAUGAAGAAUCGCUACCUGCACUGUCCAUGGAACACUUCCUUGACCGAAUGGUACAGGAAGUGGUUCUACAUCAGGGAGGAACCGGGCAGCUCCACGUUCUGCGACGUGGGAUACAUUCCUGAGAAGAGGACGAGCUGGACCGACCGCCCGGAGUUCGACGGUCCAGUGGCGGAUCUCAUGAAGCUGAUCGACUGGUCGCGCCUGGACGGGCUUGGCGUGGUCGGCAACUUCAUUUGCCGCCGGGUGAUGCCCUGCCAGAAGAGGGUGCACUCGGCGUACGAGUAUGCCGGAAGCGCAGACCCGACCAGGAUGCGGUCGGAGAUCUUGGAGAAAGCGGAGGUACAACAGCUGUUGAACGAGCUGUUUAACUUCGCGGACGGAGGCUUCAUCCGUGGCAGUGAUCGGGUGCAAGCCUUCAAGUUAGGACGACCAGCACCAAAGGUAUGUAGCAUAUUCUGUUUUAGCAUUCGUAUAUCGUCGGCAGUUGACUCAUCUCUGUUGCUUUUGCAGAUCGGCGGUGUCGACCGGUGCACAGUGUAUGUAUCACUGGCACCGGGGAUGGAAAAUCCUGCGGGAGAAGACCCGCCAGAGGAGGACGCUGCUCGGUGUACUCAUUACACCAGCAGUGAAGAGGACCAAGCCCGCCCCAUCCCGACCUCCGAGGGGAGGGUAGCGGGGAAGAGGCCAUUGCCGGCAGAUCCUUUGCCGGCGGAUCUUCCGGCGGAGAGCAGCCAAGCACCGAAGCGUCGUCGGCUCGUGCGGAUCGUUGACGACGACGACGACGAGGAGGAGGCUGCGCCGUCUUUGGUCCGACGGCCCCGGGGUCGCCCAGAUAAUGCGCCGGCCGCUACUGAUCGAGUGGCCAGCGACGCCCCUGCACCACAAGUUGUCGAGACGGGGGCGCAGGUGCCGACCGGCCGGGCGAGGAGGAGGUUCACCGCCACCCACCGUCGAUCAGACCUGUAAGUGUUCGACUUACGUAUUUUUGGACUCCUCUUUGAUUUUUUUUUGUUUUUUUUUUUAAAUUUGACUUUUGUUCCUGUAGUGCGGCGUCGGAUGUCGACCCCGGCCAGGUUGCCAGCCAGGGGACGGGCGAGCCUGCCCGCGGUUCUGGGGAUGCGGCCCCCCAGACCACAGAGCAGCCAACAGCUGCAGUCGCGCCUGGGAGCACCGAGGGGCUCCCGAGCGCGGCACCGACUACGACAAGCAGCCCGACCAGGGCUGGAGAGGCUCCCCCAACUGACUCCUCAGAGAAGGAAAGAUCUCCGACCGCUCCUCCUGCCGGGGGGAGUGAAAUCCCCACGCCGCCCCGAGCAGGAGCCUCCUCUGCUGCGGGCUCCCCAGGUCUGGUCCAAGGGCCAGUAAUACCUGGGACCACCACCGGGGGUGACGCAGCACAGGAGGAGGAAACCCGGGCGGCCUCCGAUGAUGAGGUGGAAGAGAUCGAGGGUCGUCCCCGUGAUGGCCGCCAACACGUGUAUGUGUGGCGCCAACGCGGGGAUCACUUUAUCGGGCAUGAGGAGCUCGCCGAGACCGAAGAGGCCGCCAGGGUGGAGCGCGCGGCCAAGCGCCUCGUCGACGAAGUCAAGGUAAGCGGCUUUUUGCACUGCUGCACAUUCUUUUGCCUUGUCUUGCAUGGUCGUUAUAUGCUUGCUUUGUAGGAUGCAAUGAAAACGGCGAAGUACCGGAAACGGUGCUUUGACCAGAUAGAAGGCGUCAUGGCCGAGAACAAGGCCCUUGCCGCGGAGGUAGACCGGUUGCGGGCGAAGGUCGGGGAGAAGGUGGUCGAGAUGAGUGCCGAAAAGGAGCGUCGUCUCGACCUUGCUCGUCGUUUGGCCGACCAGUACCGGCUGCAAGAAGGUUAGUCACACACUCCGAGCAGCUUCGCGUACUUGUAUAGUUUGCUUUGCUGACCAGUUUAGGAUUCGCGCAGACUUGGAGGAGGAGGUGGCGAGCCUCCAACAAGAGGAGCAGCUCAGCCAACAGCUCGCCGGUGCGCUGGAGUCCGGGCGGCGAGCAGGAGAGGAGUUGGGUCGAAAAGACCGGGAGCUAUCUGGUAAUGGUUGCCGCCUUGUUGGUUACUGCUUGCCCCUUUUUUAUGCCGAAAAUAACGCUUCGUUUCGUUUGCAGUGCUCAAGGUGAACGCCAAAAAGCACCUGGACGAUCUGACCAAGGACCGGGACUCCUGGAAGGUCAACUGUUGCAGGAUCUGGAAAGGAGUGUCCCCGGUCCUAGACCUGAUCAGUCCCGAGCUCCCGGAGAGCCAGCCCCGGGCGCCGCAGUUGACCCCGGUCGAGAAGGCGCAACGGGCGUGGGACUGGCUCCAGCAGUUUGUGAAGGACGCCGGGGAGUUUGCCGGCGCGCACGUCCUCAGCAUGGUGCGCGCCCACUACCCCCUGGUCGACUUGAGCAGGCUGGAGAAGGGGUACCCGAAGGAAGUCGGCCCGCAGGACGCGGACGAGCUUCGGAGUAGUCUGCUGGACUUGUCGUCGACAGUGAUCGGCGACAUCAAUCUGUGCGGAACGGCCACUCCUCCAGACCAGCCGAGCUCAGAUAGGUCGGCCAGGGAGUUGUCGGGCGCGUCCGUUGCUGGAGAUGGGCGGUCGACGCCUGCGGUCUCGACCAGCCAGGCGCCGGUGGCCCCGACCCCUUCGUCCGGGCAGCAGGGCCAGGCGGGUGAUCAGCCCGAGCAGCUAGGCCAAUAAAGUAGUCUGUAGGAAUAGACUAGUGUCUGCCCGUCAGGGUAUUUAUUGUAAACUUUGUAUGUAAAGUUUGUAAUAAAGUUUACUUUUUGUCAUGACUGUUGUUUUGAGCGCUGUAAAAAUAUCUGAGUGACGUGUCACCGUAUUUGUCUUGGUUGUCGCUAAGAGCAUCCAUUGCAGGAGUUUUGCCGAGUGCUGUGUGUGACAAGGUAUAGGCAAAAAAUAGAGAAUUUCAUUAUCAAAAACUAUAAGAUACUUACAAAAGAAAGUCAUUAAAACUUUAUGGAUAGAAACGUCGCAGUUUGUCGAUGUGCCAGAGUUAGGCACUCGUGUUCCGUCUGGGUACGCCAAUCUGUAGGACGUAGGUCGUGUGACCUCGGUCACCACGAAGGGUCCUUCCCAGGGAGUGGAUAGCUUGUGCAUUCCCUCCUGGCUUGUUUUCCAUCGAAGCACCAGAUCGCCGACCACGAAGGAACGGUCCUUGACGUUCCUGUUGUAGUAUCGCCUGACUGCCGCGAGAUAUUUUGCUGUUCGGAGACAUGAAACUAAACGCUUUUCCUCCAUGCAAUUGAUUUCGAGUUCUCUGGCGUUGUCGGCGGUCGCCUGGUCGAAGUGCUCGAUUCUAGGAGAUCCGAAGUGUAUGUCAGACGGCAGGACCGCCUCUGCACCGUAUACCAUGAAGUAGGGAGACACCCCUGUGUUUCGACUGGUCUGGGUUCGGAGGCCCCAGACCACUGCCGGCAAUUCUUUCAUCCAUCGACCGGGUGCUCUGUCGUUUUCGGUGUACAGCCUUUUCUUUAGGGCGUCAACGAUCAUUCCGUUAGCACGUUCGACUGGACCGUUGGCACGUGGAUGUGCCACUGACACAUAUUUUAUGACUAUGCCUCUGUCAUCGCAGAAAUCCCAAAAAGUGGUGCCAGUAAACUGAGUGCCCAGGUCGGUGAUUAUGCUGUUCGGGAUGCCGAAUCUAUGUAUGAUUUGAUUGAGAAACUCCACAGCCUUCUCGGAGGUUGCCUUGACCAGGGGCAUGUAUUCAAUCCACUUGGAGAACUUGUCGAUUAACACGAAGACAAACUUGAAGUUGCCCGGGGCUGGUUUAAAUGGUCCGAUCAUGUCAAGCCCCCAGCAAGCAAAGGGCCAAGACGACGGGAUGGUUUGAAUUUCAUGGGCAGGUACGUGGGUCCUCUUAGCGAAAAACUGACAUCCUUCGCAAUGCCGAACCAGUUUUUCUGCGUCGCCGACCGCGGUUGGCCAAUAAAAACCUGCUCGGAAAGCCUUUCCGACCAGCGUUCUAGAUGCGGCGUGAUUGCCGCAGGAUCCAGCGUGUAUGUCCUCCAAGAGCUUGAUACCAUCAUCUUGGGGUAUGCACUUGAGCAGUACUUCGGAGCUUGCGUUUUUCCGCAUGAGUUUUCCGUCGACCAGGAUGUAGUUCUUUGAUCGUCGGAUGAGGCGUUCGUUCUCUGUUUUGUCCUGAAAGCCUGUCCCGUCUGAUAUGUAUUUGAUGAACGGGGUACGCCAGUCACGCCCACCGGUUGUCGGAGUGGCGUCAUCUAUGAGCAUUGCCUCGGUGGGUUGCUUGUCGACCAGGGGGGGCUUACGCUCGGCUCAUGGAUGUCCUGGACGAAAAUACCCCGCGGGAUUUGGGCCCGAGAUGAGCCUAACUUUGACAACGCAUCUGCUGCUUGGUUCUUAUCCCAGACCACGUGGAUAUACUCUAUGCCAUAGAAGUUAGUUUCCCAUUUGCGAAUUUCUUUGCAGUAGAGAUCCAUCUUCUCGUGGGUUGCGUCCCACUCCUUGUUGAGCUGGUUGAUGACCAAAGCGGAGUCGCCGUAGACAUAGAGGCGCUUGACCCCCAGUUCAACGGCUAGUCGUGUGCCAUGUAAGCAUGCUUCGUAUUCGGCGACGUUGUUUGACGCCGGAAAAAGGAUCCGAAGGACGUAACGGAGUUUGUCCUUGUUGGGUGAUACGAACAAUAUCCCAGCGCCUGCACCGUUGAUGUUCAAGGACCCAUCAAAGAACAUUGACCAGUGGUCUGAGACAUCGGGAACAGAAGGCUCGUUGAGAUCCGUCCAUUCGGCAAUGAAAUCGACCAGGGCUUGAGACUUGACAGUGGUGCGACUCUGGAACUCUAGGGAAAAUGGACAUAAUUCCAUUGCCCAUUUCACGAUUCUGCCAUUGGCGUCUUUAUUGCGCAGGAUGUCCCCGAGAGGAAAGCUGGUUGUCACCAGGACUCGAUGGCCGUCGAAGUAGUGCUUCAGCUUUCUUGACGUUAUCAGGAUGGCGUAUAUAAGCUUCUGUAUUUGUGGGUACCUGGCCUUGGACUCGUUUAAGACUUCGCUUAUGAAGUAAACGGGUCUCUGGACCUUGAAGACGUGACCUGGUUCAUCUCGCUCGACCACUAUUGCCGUGGAAACAACCCUGUCGGUUGCAGCAAUGUAAAGGAGUAGGUCUUCAUUGGGCUGAGGCGCUGUGAGGACAGGUGGUGAAGUGAGGAAGGUCUUAAGCUGAGUGAACGCAGCGUCGGCUUCCUCUGUCCAAGAAAAUUUUUCUGACGCUUUCAAUAGUUUGAAGAAAGGGAGGCCUUUUUCUCCCAGCCUUGAGAUGAAACGACUGAGGGCGGCCAUGCAUCCGGUUAGCUUCUGAAUAUCCUUGACAUUCUUCGGUGGUCGCAUGUCGAGUACGGCUUUGACUUUUGAAGGGUUUGGUCGUAUGCCGUCGCGACUGACGACGUUGCCGAGCAGUAGACCGGAAGGAACGCCGAAAAUGCAUUUCUUGGGGUUGAGCUUCCACUUGUACCUAUUGAGUGCCUUGAAGGUUCGGUCUAAGUUGUCGAUUAGGGUGCUCGCGUCCCUUGUUUUUACGACCACGUCGUCCACAUAGGCCUCGACGAGGUCAUCGCGAAUCUCGUCGUGGAGGCAUUGCUGGAUGGCCCUUUGAUAAGUGGCCCCAGCGUUUUUAAGUCCGAAAGACAUGGUAGUGUAGCAGUAUGCGCCGAAGGGUGUGAUGAAGGAUGUUUUGAUCUGAUCUUCUUCCUUUAGCGAGAUCUGGUGAUAACCAGAGUAGCAAUCUAGAAAGGAGAGUAGUUCGCAUCCGGCCGUUGAGUCGACCACCUCGUCGAUGCGAGGAAGACCAAAAGGAUCUUUAGGACAGUGUUUGUUGAGAUCGGUGUAAUCAACGCACAUUCUCCAUUCAUUGUUCUUUUUGCGUACAAGAACCGGAUUGGCAAGCCAAUCGGGGUGAUACACUUCUUUUAUGAAUCCGGCUGCUAGAAGCCGUGUUAUUUCUGUCCUAAUAGCCUCCUUUUUGUCACGAGCGAACCGUCGCAGUUUUUGCUUGAUUGGUCUUGCGGUCUUCGAGACAUUUAAGGAGUGCUCGAUCAGGUUUCGUGGGACACCGGGCAUGUCUGCGGGUUUCCUUGCGAAAACGCUCACGUUGUCCCUUAGAAACCUGACGAGCGCGUCUUCCUAUUUUGGAUCCAGGUUUGCCCCGAUGAGGGCUGUCUUCUCGGGGUUGCCUUCGACCAGCUGCACUUCUUUGUAUUCCUUGGAUUUUGAGUUCUUUCUGGCUGUCUCCUGCUCAGGUAAUCGGAGCUGAUCGGGAGGCAGCUGUGCGGCUUGGUUUGCUGUUUCCGCCAUGCGGAUUGAGAGGUCGAUUGCCUCGGUGAUCUUGAAGCUUUCUUCUUCGCAGGUGUACGCGGUGUAGACGUUGCCUCUGAUGGUUAGGACACCCUUCUCCGUGGGCAUCUUAAGGACUAGGUAUGAGUAGUGCGGGACUGCCAUGAACUUUGUCAGCGAUGGGCGGCCCAGUAUGGCGUGAUAGGUCCCGUCGAAAUCCGCGACUACGAAGUUGAUGAACUCCGUCCGGAAGUGAUCGGGUGUGCCGAAUUGGACAGGCAAUGUUAUCUGUCCGAGGGGCACCGAACUUUGACCUGGCAAAACCCCCCAGAAUUGGGCGUCGUAAGGUUUUAGUUGUGCCGGUGAUAUCUUGAGGGCGGGCAGGCUGUUGCGGAAAAGGAUGUCGAUGGAGCUUCCCCCGUCCACGAGCACGCGCUUGAAUCUGAUGCUAUUGAUGCAGGGAUCAAGAAUCAGUGGGAAACGACCCGGCUCUGGGAUAGCGGCCCACUGGUCCUUCCUGCUGAACGAGAUCUCCCUGUGGGACCACGCGGGAAAUUUCGGAUCUGCAAUCAGCCCGUCCGUGCUGUCUAUGUUGAGGCAGGCUCUCUUUAACAGCUUUCUUUCUCGCUUGGACUCAGUGGAGACCUUGCCCCCGAAAAUGGAGUGGACCACGUCGGUGGGGCUGACGUAUUGGUGUCGGGGGUCCCUGUCUUGGUCCUCAUCCUCAUCUUCGUGGUCGUGCCCGUCGCGCUUGUUAUUUUUCUUGGCGGAGUCCUCUUGGGCGGCCCACCGUGUAUAGAUACUUUUGAGGACGCGGCACUCUUCCAUGGUAUGGUUAGACUUUGGGUGUAGCUGGCACGGUCCCUUCAACGUUUUGUUGUAGUCGUCUUGGUAGUCCCGUCGUCCAUUGGGACGUUUGACCGUAUUUACUUCGUGGUCGUACUCGCCAGGGCGCUUUCCUCUGAAGUCGUCGCGGCUGUCGCGCCGCCGAUCCCAACCCUCUCGGUGAUCGCGGUUGUCGGAGCGGCGGUGAUUUCUGUUGUCGUAGCGACCACGACCGUCAUCUCGCCGGGAAGGCUGGUCGGGGCCUCUCGCAUCGUCUCGGAUUAGUUUUUCUGCGUCAUCAGCAUCGGCGUAAUUUUUAGCCGUGGCGAGGAGCUCUGCUACCGUUGAUGGGCGCUUACGCAACAGCUUGUUCCUCAGCGCUUCAUGGAAACGCAAGCCCUUGAUCAAGGCUGAUAUGGCCUCGUCAUGAGAAAUCUUCGGGAUUUUGAGGCGCAUAUCCGAGAAUCGUCGGAUGUAAUCGCGCAGAGGUUCAUUCUUCCUGUCCCUUAUCCUUUCAAGGUCAUACUUGUUUCCGGGCUGCUCGCAUGUGGCGAUGAAGUUGUCGAUGAAAGCCUGGCGUAGCUCUUCCCAAGAGUCGAAGGAGUCCUCGGGCAAGCCGAGAAGCCACUGAUGACCAGCCUGGUCGAGGACUACGGGGAAGUAGUUAGCCAUGACGUGCUCAUCUCCUGCCGCUGAUCGGACGGCGAUUUCAUAGAGAGUGAUCUAGUUCUCUGGAUUUUCCUUGCCGUCGUAUUUUUUAAGUUUUUCGAGCUUGAAAUUGCGGGGCCACACGACCUGGCGGAGGUGUGAGGAGAACUGUCUUAGGCCCGGAGGACCGUGGGUCGCAUCGUACUCGAUGCGGCGCAGGUUUUCGUGGACUGCUCUCUCUGCGGCGCGCCUAUUGAUGCGAUCCCGGGCAUCUUUGGGAGGGAUGUUGUGGCGGAGAUCCCUGUGUUGGUCUUCUUCUUGGCCGCGUACGCCGUGAAUUUGCUUGCGGCGGCCAUCGGCGUCCCGACCACCAUCGUCGCGCCGCGAGUCCCCUCGACGGUUGUCGGGGGAGCGGCUGCGGUGACGUCUGCUGGGUGAGACCUGGCUACGAUUAGUCUGGUCGGAGGCGGCUUCCGUAUAGGAGACGUCCUGGACUCUCUUGAGCAGAGUGGCUGUCUGUCCCAUUGCGGCGAUCAGGUGUGCUCGGAUGCUGGUCCGGACUCCCUGGCAUUCGGGGGUGUCAGGAAGCCGAUCCAGGUUGGCCAUGGCGACAGCCACGUUGCCGGACUCCCCGACCAUGUCAAAGGCAUCGUUGAGGUUACUUGGUGGCAUCUGUUGUUGCUCGUCCGCACGCCAUCGGGCGCGAUCGGCGUUACGCUGUUCGCGGAGUUGCCUCUGGUCAUCUGUUUCUCCGUCAACAGCCGGUUCGUCGGCGCUGACAUUGAACACAAUAUCCCCUCGCCGGGGGGGGAAUAUCGGGAAUCAGUCGAAACCCGGAGGGUGUGAAGGAAAAUCCAGGUCGUAGCCCUCGUCUUCGGUGUUUAUAACCUUGGUGGGGACGGAGCCGGUGCUUGAGUUGGUGCUGGAAACCUGGCCGUCCCGUAGCUCUCGGAUUGUCACCAUGUUGACAUGGUGACGAUUGUUCCUUGUCGGUGACCAACCCGCCUUGCUGAAAACGGAUUGGACAUGCUGUGAGUAAACAGAGGCGGAGUUGUUCAGGCCGCAAGGAUAGUCUUCCUUUUUGAGCUUGACGGAUCGUCCUGAGGGGGUUGAGGUUAUCGUCAGGGACGUUCCCAGCCGUUCGUGUGUGGCGACACGAGUUGGCCGGCGGGAUUUCGAAGAAUCCGCUCGAGCAGCUUGGUCGGGACGGCGCAGAAUUCCAUCUAUUAGUUGGGAAACCUCGAGUAGCUUGGAGUCAGCGCGAUCAAGCGCUUGGAGGAGGUCCGAGCAGUCGAUCUCCUUUCCCUUGUAGAGUGGGAACGGUGGUCGGGAGCUUGGUGCCGUCAUGCGUGUGGUCGGAGACGGCGUGAUCUCAGAUCGGACCUGGAUCUCUUUCGGAACCGUGGUCGCGAAACCGCCGCUGCACGUCGUCCACGUGAUCUGGCCGACGGUGAACGUGAGGCCUUCGGGCACGGUCGCGGAAGCUGGGAUCGUGACCAUCUUGUUCGCCGGAAAAGUUGCACGCACACCCCCUACCUGGCGCGCCACUGUCGACGAAAGCUAGUCGGCAGUCUACCUUGGGGUAUACCCACGGUAGUAGUUUAUCGGUAGACGGUGCGCAAACUACGAACUCGAUGGUGACGCAAGACACGGACAAGCUUUUUAUCCAGGUUCGGCCGCCGAGUUGGCGUAAUACCUACGUCCUGCGUCUGGUUGUAUUGAUUUGUGUUGAGAGAAUAUGAUGUCCCCUAGGGGGGUCCCUUGCCCCUCCUUAUAUAGUCUGGAGGGCAGGGUUACAGAUCUGGAAACUAAUCCUAGUCGGUUACAAUUGCCAUGGAUAAUUCGAUAUCAAUUCCUAUUCUAACCGACUAGAAUCCUGCUUGAUCUCCACAUCUUGUUUCCUUGCGCGAAACUCCAGGUUGUCGGAUCAAGCCUUGAACUCGUCUCGUAAUGGGCCAAGCCUCCUGGCCGAAGUCUAGCCGUAAGGGUAUAGGGGUUUAUCCCCCCACAGUAGGCUGAUAUUUGUAUGCUGUCUCAAUGGCCUUUUGAUCUUCUUUGAACUUGGCCCUCUGGUCAAUCCAAUGGAGCAAAUUUUCCAUCUUGGUUGAUAAUGCUUUUACUUCUUCUGGUAUUUCUUCAGUUUGAUGACAUUGUUGAGCUUUAUCUUGGAACCAGCUUUGGUUUUCUGCUAUCUUAUCCAAAAGUAUCUCUGCUUUUCCAAUCGUAAGCUCCAAGAAUGAUCCUUUAACAUAUGCAUCUAGGCACUCACGAGCCUUCUGGGUUAAUCCAUGUUAGAAGGUCUACAUAAGUAACCAUGUGGCCAUUCCAUGGUGAGGACAAUCUUUGAAAACGCUCCCAUGCUUCUGCAAUGGUUUCUGUCUUUUGCUAUUGGAAACUGACAAUAUUUCCUCUUAAGGCAGUUGUUUUGCCUAUAGGGAAAAACUUUGAUAGAAAGGCAUCUGACAAGUUUGUCCAGUUGUUGAUGUUAUCUUGAUGAUUGUAGAACCACUUCCUCUCUUUCCCUUCUAGUGAGAAUGGGAAAAGGCGAAGCAGUAUGACAUCUUUGUCAACUCCGUUGAUGUGGAUUGUGCUUCCAAUCUCUAAGAAAUUCUGCAAGUGUACACUAGCAUCUUCAUGUGCCUUUCCACUAAAUUGUGUAGCUUGUACCAAAUUGAUGAGGCUUGACUUGAGCUCUAACUCGGGUACUCCCUCUUCUACUGUAAAUCUUGGACCAGUUGGAAUGUUCUCAAGACUUGGAGCAGAGAAUUCUUGCAAGGUCUUCUGUGCCAUAGCUUCAGCAAUUGUUAGCUAGCUUCUUCUUCUCUUGAUUGCUUUGGUUCUCAUGAUGAAGAGUUGAAUGUACCCAAAGUCAAUCCUGAUAUACCCUGUAUAAAAAUAUAAACAUAGAAAAACAAUAGGGUGAUCCUGCCAAAGCAGAGGUACCUUCUUAUGAUUUCUCACUUAGUAGCUGUUUUAUGCAAUUAUUUCUCUAUAGUCUAGUCUAAUAUUUUAUAUGAAUAACCUUGACUGAUUUCCUGACUUUCCUUACCGUUCCUAUGUGUUUCCCUUUUUGCUCCCCUUUAUGACUCCCCGGCAACGGCGCCAGAAAUGCUUGUUGACACUAGCUAACACCACUUAGAUACUAGGUUGUCAUCCCCAGCAUGGUGCCAGAGUGUACAAAGGUAUUUAUAAAUGUAAAGGCUUUCUAAAAAAUAAUCUAUUCUAUCCGCAAGCGCACAGAUAAAACACCUCAUUGUAGCAUUUCACCAGGAUAAGUAUACCAGGUAUCGUUAUUUAUAAUUUUGCUUGAGAGGACAAGGGAUGAAAUUAAAGUAAGGACAAAAUCUAUCAAGACAUAGACUAGAGAUAAACUUGCAAGAACAUGAUUACUAAUGAGAAACUCGUCACACAGUCACUUACUUUGGCAGGGGGUAAACCAUUAAGAUAAUGAUAAUGAAUUAUAAGUUCAAGGGUAAAUAACACAGCGAUUAGAAAAUAGACUACUCCUCAUAUAUGUAAGGUGACGUCGGAUUAGCUAGAGAAUGGAUUCUAAGUUAUCUACUAUAUACUAAGUCAUAAUAUACUCUAGUUAUCUACAAGAUCAUGUAUAGCAUAAAAGACUCUUCAUUCAUGUAUAAGGAACAUUGCUAAAGUAAAUCAGAGCAUCGCAAGACUUACUCCGCAAUACAAGUUCUUCCUGUCCUAUCGAUGGAGGGUGGACUAUAUAAGAAUCAACGAAGCUGUCACUAUCGCGAACUACCACACGACCCAGCCAAUAGGAUACAUUUGCAGGUAAAUAACAUCUAAGCACCAUGCCCACAUGUGAUCUACCACUUAACUCCCUCACGUCAAGUGCUAAGCGCUUUGCAAACUUAUACAUAAACUAAUUAUCAAUCAUAACUAUAUCAAAUAUAGAACUAGAGCAAACUAAGAACAUAAUAAAUUGAGACAUAAUGCAAUUAGAACAAAGAAUUAGUGAAAGAUAUGAAUAAUACCAAUCUUUAUUACCGAAGAUCCGAAUCCAGAGCGUAGUGCUCUACUUCUCUAAUUGCUAUCUAAUCAAACCUCAAAACUUGAAGGAUUAGGGAGUAGCUAAUUCUAAUUCUCUGUGGGAGAGAAGCUCUAAACCCUAACUUUGAUGGCUACCUCUAAUAAUGAUUUCUCCUCUUCUCUUCUCUCCCCCAGGGGUGGAGAGGCCUUGGUUAUAUAGUCCUUUCAAGUGAAUUUGGGUCGUUGGAUCAAACCGACAUUGAUUGUAUGGUUCAGAUUCAUCCUUUAGGUCGGUGGAGCUUAGUCCUAAAAGAGAGUCCUGAUUGGACUCUGACCCUGGGCGGCCGCCUAAGGGGGGUGGGCGGGCGCCCUACCCCCGAGCCCGAUCGUCUUCUCGUUCGUUCCCAUGGCUUCUGGACUCUUCUAGAUUGAGGAAAAUUGUGUGGCACGUAAUUAUCUCGUUGUAAACAUGACAUGUGGGCCUUCUCUCCAUAUUCUCAGAUAACCCCCUGCAGAAAUAGAUAAACACCAAAGCUCGUGGAAUUCUGUCAGAUAAAACCCUAAUUCUAGAUGUUUUGUGCAUAUUGAUCAUUUUCCAUGUUUAUUUGAUUGUUAAUUUUAGUACUUAAGGACCGUCAACAACGUACUUCCGGAGUAGAAAUAGCAUGUAUGAGUGAACGUGCAAGUGAAUCUUGAUUUAACCACAUGACAAGCUCCUAAGGGUCUACACAGCUUGACCACACUCAAUGCUCAUAAGCAGUAAAAAGUAAAUGUGUGGCUCAAAGUCUAGCAAGCAUGUAUAUAUGGCUAUGGUAGGAAUUUAAACUCUCAUCUUAGAGGAACUCAUCAUGUGAUAUUUUAAAGGUUUUCAAAGAUAAAAUUCUCUAGCAUCUCUACGAACAGAUAAACAGCAGCUCAACCUUCCCAUAUCAUAUCCAUUAACAACUUAGACUUUAGAUCAAGUUCUCUUCCCACAAGUUCAGGUUUAGAGCAAGCUUUAAAUUAUAACAGUUAUGUCUAAACUAGAGAGAGAACUCCAAAUUUGAAAAUUAGGAAGAGCAACUAUUCAUCAUAUCCAUGCUAGAGUUUUAUUAUGAUUCAGUUUAGCAUAGUCACUUUAUUUAUUUAUUUAUUAAACACACUAAGCAAAAGAUAUAUAUAUAUAAGCACAAAACCUUUAUUUGGUUUUUCAUGUUUUUGUAUAUUUUUAUUUUAAUAUAGUAUAAGUAUAAAGAUAGAUAGAAAUAUUUAGCGGGAUAAAUGGGGGUGCUCUCCCCCAAGCUGAAUUUUGACGUAAUUUUUUCUGAUGUAGCUAGCAGGUGGCAGAGGUGUAUUUGAAAGUCGGUAGUACCCUGACAGCGAUUAGAAUGUCCUCCGUCUGCUAGUCUUCUUGAUUCUUGAAUUCUGUGGAGCUCAAAUAGACAACAAAGCUUUGUGGAACCGGUUAAGUGUUAACAUAAAUACCUAGCUUUUAUCAUGUUGAGCUUCCUCAAUAAGUGUUACUCUCUAUUUUUAUAUUUUCAUUUUAUAGAGCAGAAAAAAUUAUUUAUUUUAUUUUUAUGCCACCACAGUGAAUGUACUUAUGGAUUUUAUGCCACCUGUAUACUCACUUGGGGCUUACUAUUUUUUAACAUUUCUAUUUUUUAAGAUGGUAUGAACAUAAUUAACUAAGCAAACUAUUUUAAAUAAUUGAAAGGAAAAGAGUAACUACCAAGUUUACCUCUUGGCAAGACGUUCGGUGUUUUUAAGUCCUCCGAACGGGACUCUCCGUUUUCUCAGUUGACCUUCGAUUCGUUAGGUGGCGUAGUCGGUGCUUCCGGCGGCGCCUCUUCUUCGUAUAUAGUUAUCUUCUCUCUCCACACCUGACUCGGUGCUACGGUCUCCUCAGGAUAAUUCUGUUCAAGCUGUAUGUCUUCAGACCUUACCACUUCUUCUUCGUAGUCUGCCCAUCCGUCCUUGAUGAUUUGCCUCCUCUAGUUGCGGUUGCGUCGUCUUCUUCUUGUCCUGACCUGCUUAGAAUCUUCAACUAUAUAGUUAGGGUAAGUAAAAUAGUGGUGUACCUUCUCUGAGGGGAAGUGCAUGUGAACUUCUCUGGUUCCAAUCUAGAUGAUUGCUUUAACGGUGCUGAAAAAUGGUCUUCCAAGGAUGAUGUGUGGAUCGUACUCAUCUUCUCCCAUGUCAAUGACCUGAAAGUCUGUAUGGAAAAAAUUAUCAUCUAUUUUGACAGGGACAUCAGUUACUAUACCUUCAACCUUUCAGAAUGUCUGAUUUGCCAUCUGGAGCUGAAUGUUUGUUGGUCUUAAGGGCAUGGUUCCGAACAAGAGCCAAUAGGUGACUGCGGCCAUUAUGUUGACGCCCGAUCUGGUGUCACAAAACGUCUUGUAGAAGUUGUAUCCAUAAAUGGAGCAAUAGAUGCUUGGCAUUCCUGGGUCAUCCUUCUUGGUUAGAAAUGGUGACUUAAGUUGAUGACCUUGACCUCGUUGAACUGCAGUGACCAUCUUAGCUGACUCGGUCCAUACUUGCUUGUUCCUGUUCCUCCGGUUGGUCCUCUUCCUUGGUUCAUGUUGGGAUUGCUCUGGGAUGUGUGUAGUCUUGUUCUUGAAGGAAAACGUCUCCUUCCUCCCUUUGAUGUAGAAACUGAUCUUGGCAGCACUAGCGUAGAUGAUAGCUCCCGAGGUGUUUAGGAAUGGCCUCCCUAAGAUGAUGGGUGCCCUCUCAUCAUUUCUGGUCUCUAUCACCACGAAGUCUGCUGGGGCGUACAAGGUACAAAGUCGGACACAGAGGUUCUUCAAUAUUCCCUUUGGGAAACUUAACGCCUGAUCUGCAAACUGCAAACACAUGGUUGUUUCUAAUAAAGGAUAUGUAAAGAUUUUUUCAUAGAGUACCCUGGGCAUAAUGUUGACGCUGGAGCCAAAGUCGCAAAGUGCUUCUGGGAAGUCCACCAUGCCGAUGGAGAUCGGCAUGACGGGGCGUCCUGGAUCGCCUCUCUUGACCGGCAGAAGGCCAGUAGUAACUUCAAUGAUGGGGUUACUCCAGUAGUUACCUGCAUCAAACAUGUCUACAAGAUUUGCAGAUUCUAAUCCUUCCGGUUGUGAUGGUACACCGGGGUUAGUAGCAGGAACAGCAACAGCUAUUUGAUUUAACUGAGAUUCAAUCAUUUUGUUAAAGCUAAUUUGAUUCUUGAUGGCAGUAGACAAAUUAUCCAUUCCAUUAUUUAUAUUUUCUAGUAUUUUAUCAUUAGAUGCCAAUUUCUUAGAUAGGUUAUCCAUUAGCUUUCCUUGAUUAGACACUAACUCUCUUAGAGGUGGAAAAUUAUUAUUAUUGUAAGAAUUGUUACCUUGACAAUUACCUGAGUAGUUAGGCCUCUGUUGAUUGCAACCUUGAUUUUGUUGAGGACGAUUGUAGUAAUUGUUGUUGUUUUUGUUGAUGUAGUUCACAUCCUCGAGCAUCUCAUGGCAGUGAAUGCCGGAGUGUCCAGUGUCUCCACACUCCUCACAAGUCACGUGAGAGUCGUAGAUGUGCAUGACUUCUUUCUUAUCUCUAGCUCUAUCAUCGAGCUUCUUCAUGAGCAGGUCUAGCUUUGCAGACAACAUGUCUACCUCCUUGAGCUGGUGCAUACCUCCACCUCUCUUGUGUGUCUGGGUCCUUUCUUCAUUCCAGCCUUGGUUGGACGCCAUCUUCUCCACAAGAGCUGUGGCUUGUGAUAUGGUGAGUGAUAGGAAUGCUCCUCCAGCUGCAACAUCCAUGGUCUCUCGGGCACUAUUGCUGAGUGCUGACGGUCCUUAAUGCUCACAUUUAACUGUCAACUAAUCAUGGAAAAGGAUCCAAAUGCAACCAACACCUAGACUUAGGGUUUUAUCUGACAGAAUUCCACGAGUUUUGGUGUUUGUCUAUUUCUGCAGGGGGUUAUCACGUAAUACGGAAGAAAGGCCCACACGUCGCGUUUACAUAGAGAUAUUAAGUAUCGUGCAAUUUUGUAUCAUCUAGAAGACUCUAGAAGCCACGGGAACGAAGCGGAGGCCGAGAGGGCUCAGGCACAGGGCGCCCGCCCUAGUCCUGAGGGCGCCCACCCUGCUACAGUGCUCAAUCAGAGUCCAAUUCGGGGACAACGCUCCACCGACCUAAAGGAUCAAGGAAAAUCAUACGACUAAGGUCGGUUUGAUCGGAUGGUGGAGAAUAACGUGGAAAUUCCUUGGGAGCUACUCUUCCUAAAUUUCUUGGGAGCUACUCUUCCUAGAUUUCUUGGGGGCUACUCUUCCUAGACUAUAUAAGCAGACCCCCACCAGCCCCUAGAGAUCAUACCUCUUCUACAGAAUCAAAGCUAGGGUUUCAAUUCUUCAUCCACGUAGAGAGGAUCCCUCUAGUUCUUCUAGUUCUAGUUCCUCUAGUUCUAGUUCUAGUUAGUUCUAGUUGUAAUCUAGAAAAUAGGGAGAAAGAAGAGGAGAGCGGAGAAGGAGGAGCAGGAUCUGUCGGAUCUUCCUCAACAUUGUACUUUUGCAGCAACUGGUUCGUUCUUCAUCGUUCUCCAUUUUCUUCAAUUCAUAAUUCCUGAGUUCUCUAAUUACUUUUAUUUACAUUCAAGUUAUUUAUUGGAUUCCCGCUUGCAUCAAGUGCUCUAGUCUAUAUAACGCUAGAGUAGUAAUUAAUAGAUUAGACGUGGUGUUUAGUCUUGCAAUUACCUGUAAUUGCACCCAAUCCUAUGGAUUGUUGUGGUAACCUUAGGGUAGUGACAGCCCUAACAGUCGACGUAUUCCACCUCGUUCGGAUCGGUGUUUGUAGGAUCGUAGUCAGACCUUCCUAGCCCCCUUCUCAUCUCUUUCUGUGGUUAGUGCUCUGAUGUCCCGAUAUAAAUAAUCUUUGAAGUAAUUCUUGAUUCUUAGAUCAACUGGAGAACUCUCAGGAAACUUCCUGUCUUCCCACCAAAAACAAUUCUAUAGUUAUCCUUGGGCGAUCUUGAUUCUUAAUUAGUACACUCAUGUUCUCUGUGGAAAAUCGAUACUCUGGAAUACUCCCGGGUGAAAGCUACAUCGGUAUCCGUGCGCUUGCGGAUUUUUCUGUUUGUGUUUAAAAUACCCAACAAGCUUUCUGGCGCCGUUGUCGGGGAACGGUAGUUGUGCUAGUUUCGAACCAAGUCGUCCGUGUAUCCUUUUUCUUUUCCUUUUUUUUACCACACUCACCUUAUCCCUUUCACCAUACCACAUGGAUUUCACUCUAAGCAUCAAUGAGCAUGGAAUUUAUUUCAUAGCCACUUCAUUUACUCCAUGCUCAUAUGCAACAUCUUCUUAAUCCAUUGGUUUUUCCAACAUCACCACAUUCAAGAUCUCCAUCCCCCUCAUCCUUUCUAUUUAUAAAAACUUUAAAAGGGCGGUUGUCGAUGCAUAUGUCUAUAUUAAAUAUUGCAGAUCUCGUUGAGUUGAUCUUGAUAUAGGUCAGCAUUGGAGGGGAAACCUCUUCGCCGACAUAAAUUGAUGGUUUCCCAAGGACAAGCUUAGUGUCCUAAAAUAAGAACUGAUCAGAUCGUAACAUGAGCUUUUAACUUUUUGCAACAUUACCUUGUGUAUUGAGCAUAUAAGGAUAAUUGUAAAAAUAUUCCUUCGGGUAUUCUUGUCACUAACCUUUCCAGUAUUGGAGCAAGAAGAUCGGAUGAAUGACAAGCACAAGGUAUGUACAACCAAUCAUCAUACAACAUUGAAUUAAAUUCAUCCAAACUUGAAUUUUGCAAAAUUUAAGCUUGGGGGAGUACUUUACAUAAAAACAUCCUUUGCCAUGUUGCUAUGUUGGUUGUCCCUACCUUUGAGACAUGCUCAAUUUGUCAAAUACUAAUCACACUACUUCAUCUCCACUUGAGUAGAUCUCCAUAAAUGCUCUCAUGCUACCUUUAUUGCUUUAGUUUAUGUCUAGGGUUAGAGUAGUUUCAUUUAUCUCUUAAUUAAGCAUGGUGCUUAGUUUAGGGCUGAUGAUCUUACUUCCAAGGGUUUUUAAAUUAAGCAUGGUGCUUAGGUUAAAAUGCCCUCCUAAAUGAAAUUAGACAUGGUGUCAAGGUUGUUUUUUUUGAGCCAAUAGUAUGCUAUAGUAGAUAUUGGAUAUUUUGUUGGACUAACCCCUGUAGGAAAACUUUCACUAUCGACAUGGGAAUUCCUGAGAUAAACUCACAUUGGAGACAAAGAGAGACACACAUGAAGUUUAACAAUUUACACAAGGAGGGCAUAGCUCACAAGAGAUGAUCUAUGGAGGGUGCCACAAACACGAUGCACAACCGCUAAGAAAGGAAAGCUUCCACAAGGUGAUACUGUACCAUCACUCUUCAAGUAAGGUAACAUCUUAAGGCACUUGACUAUCACUUCUAUAAGCUUCUCCUAGGUUCUGGCGUUCACAUGAAUAAAAGAGACAAACAUGUAUGAUUUACAACUCUAGAUUAACCAACCCAAUCAAUUCAAUAUGUUUAGUCCUUCCACCUUUGUGAUCCCACACUCUUAAUCAUAUGAGCUAAAAUGUUGCACAUGCAAUAUUUGGAAGAUAUAUAAAAAAGAUAUAAGUAUAGAUAGAUUAUCAUUCCAUUAGGUUGAGCAAUCUGAUCUGACAAAUGUUUUAAAUGUUACACUCAUGAUCUUAUUAUCCAUCAACUUUGUCUUGCUCACUAUGCUUGAGGUUAGAGAAGAGCAAAUACACUUUUGGUUCUAUUGGUGUUUUCCACCAACAAGGCCCAUGCACUUGAUCUCUGCCUUGUCUCUAUGAGCAGGUACACUUCGAGCAAAAUAUGAAAGACUUUUACAACUCCUAGACUCCACCAAGUGAAGAACCUAGAUCUACGAGCACAAACACACUGGAGAUACUAGACACUCAUGCAAUCACUGCCCUGAGAUGCUUGAGGAUGUAACUACUGGAGUAACCCCGUUGUGGAACUAAUUACUGACCUUCUGCCGGUCAAGAGAGACGAUCCAGGACGCCCCGUCAUCCCGAUCUCCAUCGGCAUGGUGGACUUCAUAGAUGCACUCUGCGACUUUGGCUUCAGCGUCAACAUUAUGCCCAGGGUACUCUAUGAAAAAUUCUUUAAACACCCUUUAUUAGAAACAGCCAUGUGUUUGCAGCUUGCAGAUCAUACGCUAAGUUUCCCAAAGAGAAUAUUGAAGAACCUCUGCAUCCGAGUUGGUACCUUGUACGCCUCGGCAGACUUCAUGGUGAUAGAGACUGGUACUGAUGAGAGGGCAUCCAUCAUCCUAGGGAGGCCAUUCCUGAACACCUCGGGAGCUGUCAUCUACGCUAGUGCUGCUAAAAUCCAUUUCUACAUCAAGGGGAUGAAGGAGACGUUUUCCUUCAAGAACAAGACUACACAAAUAUCAGAGCAAUCCCGACAUGAACCAAGGAAGAGAACCAACAGGAGGAACAGGAACAAGCAAAUGAGGAUUGAGUCAGCUAAGAUGGCCACUGCAGUUCAAGGAGGUCAAGAUCGUUGACUUAAGUCACCGUUCCUGACCAAAAAAUACGACCCAAGUAUGCCAAGCAUCCAGUGCUCCAUUAAUGUAUACAACUUCCAGAAGACGCUUUGCGACACUGGGUCAGGCGUCAACAUAAUGGCCACAGUCACCUAUCAGCUCCUGUUCGGAACCAUGCCCCUAAAACCGACAUACAUUCAGCUCCAGAUGAUUUUAAGGUUAUUGACAUGGGAGAAGACGAGUACGAUCCACCCAUCAUCCUUGGAAGACCGUUCUUUAGCACCGUUAAUGCAAUCAUCUACAUUGGAACCAGAGAAGUCCACAUACACUUCCCAUCUGAGAAGGUACGCCGCUAUUUUACUAACCCUAACUAUAUAGUUGAAGACUCUAAGCAGGUUAGGACAAGAAGGAGACGACGCAACCGCAAUCAGAGAAGGCAAAUCAUCAAGGACGAAUGGGCAGUCUACGAAGGAGAAGUUGUAAGGUCUAAAGACAUACAGUUUGAACAGUAACUAUCUUGAGGAGACCGUAGCACCGAAUCAGGUGUGGAGAGAGAAGAUAGUUAUACAUGAAGAGCAAGCUUCGCCGGAACCACCGACUACACCAUCCAGCGAAUCCCAGGACGAUUGAGAAUACGGAGAGUCCCGUUCGGAGGACUUAAAAACACCGAACGCCUUACCAAGAGGUAAACUUGGUAGUUAUCCUUUCCCUUUCAAUUAUUUUAAAUAGUUUGCUUAGUUAGUCAGGUUCAUAUCAUCUUGAAAAGAAAAUAAAAAUGUUAAAAAUAGUAAGCCCCAUGUGAGUAUGCUCAUAAAACCCAUAAGUACAUUCACUUUGGUGGCAUAAAAAUAAAAUAAAUAUAUUCCUGUCCUAUAAAAAUGAAAAUAUAAAAUAAAUUUAUGAUCCUACUAAAUAGAGUAACAUUUAUUGAGGAGGCUCAACAUGACAAAGGCUACAUACUUAUGCUAACACUUAACCAGUUCCACAAAGCUUUGUUGUCUAUUUGAGCUCCACAGAAUUCAAGGAUCAAAGAAGACUCGCAGACGGAGGACAUCCUAAUCACUGUCAGGGUGCUGCUCACAUUCAAAUACACCUCCACCACCUACUAGCUACAUCAGAAGAAAUUAUGUCAAAAUCCAGCUUGGGGGAGAGCAGCCCCAUUUAUCCAGCUAAGUGUUCUACUCACGUCUAUAUUUUACUCAAAUAAUAAAAAGAUGCAUAAUCAUAAAAACCCAAAUAAAGAUUUUGUGCUUAUAUAUAUCUUUGCUUAGUUUGCUAAAUAAAUAAAUAAAUAAAGUUUGCUAUGAACCCUCAUGAUAAGCUCUCACAUGGAAAUGAUGAGUAGUUGCUCUGCCAUGAUUAGUUCUAAAAAUUGAAAUCUCUCUUAAGUUUAGGCAUGACUGUUAUUAAUUAAGAUUUGCUCUAAACCUGAACUUGUGGGGAGAGUACUUGACCUAAAGUCUAAGUCGUUAACGGAUAUGAUAUGGGAAGGUUGAGCUGCUGUUUAUCUGUUCCUAGAGAUGCUAGAAUUCUGGAGAAUUUUAUCUUUGAAAAUCUUUAAAAUGUUGCAUGAUGAGUUCUUGUAUGAUGAGAGUUUAAAUUCCUACCACAGCCAUAUAUACAUGCUUGCUAGACUAUGAACCACACAUUUACUUUACUACUUAUGAGCAUUGAGUGUGGUCAAGCUAUGUAGACCCUUAGGAGCUUGUCAUCUGGUUAAAUCAAGAUUCACUUGCACGUUCACUCAUACAUGCUACUUCCACUUCGGAAGUACGCAUCCAUAUAUAUCCAUCCAUUUCCAUCUCCAGAACCACCCAAAAAUAUUAUACUCCUAAUCCGGGAGAGAAUAGCAAAAAAUAUUUCUGUUUUCCCCUGUGAAAUAAAUGCUCAAGAUAUCUUGGUUACUACCACUUGCUACAUUAUUUCAGGAGAUGAGUGCUCUAAAAAAAGAGAGAAAAAAAAAGAAAGAAUACGAGGAAAUAAAAAGGGGCAAGUGCCCGGAACCUCAAAAGAAAAGAAAAAAGUGAGACGAGAGGUAAAAAUGGACAAGUGUCUGACAGUAGAAUUAGGGGUACAAGAUACCCACCUGAGAGAAAAGAAAAAAAAGAAAAAAUAGAGCAUCUCAUUCUCUCCAAAAGUUUCAAAAGAGCAAGGAAGGUAUGUAUCCCCUCAAAAGAGCACACGUAGAAUUAGACUUUCACCACUGUUAUCACCAUUCAUUCGCCACACAUGCACAUCUUGAUUUGACUUAUUGACUUGUUCUUCUGGAUCCAUGGUUUGACUAUGCAAUAAAUGUCUUGUAAGUAUGUAUUAGCUGUCUCCCACCUAUGAGCCCCAGAUAUCAAAAGCCUUAUUAGAAGUAGGAUGGGAGAGAAGGCAAUGACACUAUGCUUCAUACCAAAAAUACCACAUACUUUGAGAGAAGGCAUACACCAUUACUGCCUUGAUAAGGAUCCAGAAAUACCACAAAAGAGAGACUAGAGAGAGUCAUACAAGGAAUCUCUGAGUUUUAUUUGAAAAUCUAUGAAAACUCCAGAGCUAUAGCUGAUCAAGAAUAAGAGAUAUGGUUCUUGACUAGACCGUUCUAUCUUUUAACUGCUCAAGACACAGGUGACGGUUGCAAGCCCCAUGGUGGAAGGUAAAAUGAGUAAGAUUAAAUCUUAACAGUUACCCUAACCCAGAGAUGAGAUCUUGUUUGAACGCAUGUAUAUCUUUAAGGCAUGAAACCACUGCAGAAACUCUUGAGUACAUCUUUGCUCAGGGACGAGCAAAUGUUAAGCUUGGGGGAGCUUGUUGACGGUCCUUAAUGCUCACAUUUAACUGUCAACUAAUCAUGGAAAAGGAUCCAAAUGCAACCAACACCUAGACUUAGGGUUUUAUCUGACAGAAUUCCACGAGUUUUGGUGUUUGUCUAUUUCUGCAGGGGGUUAUCAGGAAAUACGGAAGAAAGGCCCAC
rnacentral:lncRNA from 1 species